rnacentral:lncRNA from 1 species
UAUUCUAUAAUUUUUAAAGAAAUUUAUUUUGCUAUCCUAUUUGAUAACAUAUAUUUUCAGAAAAAAAUUAAGUGUAAGCUUUUAAACCACAUGAUGCUGAAAUAAAGAUGCAUUAAUGAAUUGAAGUUUAUUUAAAAUUAAAAUUUUAUUUGGCUGAGCGGGGUAGAGCAUCUGUUGUAUAAGCAUCAAAAUUUUUUAGGCUGCUACAAAUUAGUAAUUACGAAU